rnacentral:rRNA from 1 species
AGAGUUUGAUCCUGGCUCAGGAUGAACGCUGACAGAAUGCUUAACACAUGCAAGUCAACUUGAAUUUGGGUUUUUAACUUAGAUUUGGGUGGCGGACGGGUGAGUAACGCGUAAAGAACUUGCCUCACAGCUAGGGACAACAUUUGGAAACGAAUGCUAAUACCUGAUAUUAUGAUUUUAGGGCAUCCUAAGAUUAUGAAAGCUAUAUGCACUGUGAGAGAGCUUUGCGUCCCAUUAGCUAGUUGGAGAGGUAACGGCUCACCAAGGCGAUGAUGGGUAGCCGGCCUGAGAGGGUGAUCGGCCACAAGGGGACUGAGACACGGCCCUUACUCCUACGGGAGGCAGCAGUGGGGAAUAUUGGACAAUGGACCAAGAGUCUGAUCCAGCAAUUCUGUGUGCACGAUGAAGUUUUUCGGAAUGUAAAGUGCUUUCAGUUGGGAAGAAAGAAAUGACGGUACCAACAGAAGAAGUGACGGCUAAAUACGUGCCAGCAGCCGCGGUAAUACGUAUGUCACGAGCGUUAUCCGGAUUUAUUGGGCGUAAAGCGCGUCUAGGUGGUUAUGUAAGUCUGAUGUGAAAAUGCAGGGCUCAACUCUGUAUUGCGUUGGAAACUGUAUAACUAGAGUACUGGAGAGGUAAGCGGAACUACAAGUGUAGAGGUGAAAUUCGUAGAUAUUUGUAGGAAUGCCGAUGGGGAAGCCAGCUUACUGGACAGAUACUGACGCUGAAGCGCGAAAGCGUGGGUAGCAAACAGGAUUAGAUACCCUGGUAGUCCACGCUGUAAACGAUGAGUACUAGGUGUCGGGGGUUACCCCCCUCGGUGCCGCAGCUAACGCAUUAAGUACUCCGCCUGGGGAGUACGCACGCAAGUGUGAAACUCAAAGGAAUUGACGGGGACCCGCACAAGCAGCGGAGCAUGUGGUUUAAUUCGAAGCAACGCGAAGAACCUUACCAGGACUUGACAUCUCUUUGAAACCUUAUGGAAACACUAGGCCUCUUCUUCGGAAGACAAAGAUGACAGGUGGUGCAUGGUUGUCGUCAGCUCGUGUCGUGAGAUGUUCGGUUAAGUCCGAUAACGAGCGCAACCCUUAUCCUUAAUUGCUAACAUUAAGUUGAGAACCUUAAGGAAACUAUCGGUGACAAGCCGGAGGAAGGUGGGGAUGACGUCAAAUCAUCAUGCCCCUUACGUCCUGGGCUACAGACGUGCUACAAUGGCAGAUAUAAAGAGUCGCCAACUCGUGAGAGUGAGCUAAUCUCAAAAAGUCUGUCUCAAUUCGGAUUGGAGUCUGCAACUCGACUCCAUGAAGUUGGAAUCGCUAGUAAUCGUAAAUCAGAAUGUUACGGUGAAUACGUUCCCGGGUGUUGUACACACCGCUCGUCACGCCAUGGGAGUUGGUAAUACCCAAAGCUGUUAGCCUAACCAUUAUUUUAUGGAGGGAGACAUCUAAGGUAGGAUCAGCGACUGGGGUGAAGUCGAAACAAGGUAUCCCUACCGGAAGGUGGGGAUG